GAUGAACGCUGGCGGCGUGCCUAACACAUGCAAGUCGAGCGAACGUACGAGAAUCUUGCUUCUUUUAUUUUAGCGACUGACGGUUGAGUCACACGUGGAUAACCUUCCUAUAUUACUUGGCUUACUUCGGGAAACCUUUGCUACUACCAUCUGAUAUUUUUAACCGCAUGGUUCAGAUGUUCAAGACGCUCUUCCUGUCACUUAUAGCUGUUUCCGCGCUGCAUUAGCUAGUUGGUAAGGUAACGGCUUACCAAGGCGACGAUGCAUAGCCGACCUGAGAGGGUGAUAGGACACACUGGGACUGAGACAAGGUACAGACUCCUAAGGGAGGCAGCAGUAGGGAAUCUUCCGCAAUGGGCGAAAGCAUGACGGAGCAACGCCGCGUGAGUGAUGAAGGUCUUAGGAUCGUAAAACUCUGUUAUUAGGGAAGAACAGAUGUGGAAGUAACUGUGCACAUCUUGACGGUACCUAAUCAGAAAGCCACGGCUAACUACGUG
rnacentral:rRNA from 1 species